UACAGAGGUCUCAAGCGUUGUUCGGAUUCAUUGGGCGUAAAGGGUGCGUAGGCGGCGCGGUAAGUCGGGUGUGAAAACCCGCGGCUCAACCGUGGGCUUGCAGCUGAUACGGGCGGGCUGGAGUUCGGUAGGGGAGACUGGAAUUCCUGGUGUAGCGGUGAAAUGCGCAGAUAUCAGGAGGAACACCGGUGGCGAAGGCGGGUCUCUGGGCCGAUACUGACGCUGAGGAGCGAAAGCGUGGGGAGCGAACAGG
rnacentral:rRNA from 1 species